CGGGGUGCAGCAGGCGCGAAAACUUUACAAUGCUGGAAACAGCGAUAAGGGGACCUCGAGUGCCAGGUUACAAAUCUGGCUGUCGUGAUGCCUAAAAAGCAUUGCAUAGCAAGGGCCGGGCAAGACCGGUGCCAGCCGCCGCGGUAACACCGGCGGCUCGAGUGGUAACCGUUAUUAUUGGGUCUAAAGGGUCUGUAGCCGGCCGGAUAAGUCUCUUGGGAAAUCCAGCAGCUCAACUGUUGGGCUUUCAGGAGAUACUGUCUGGCUCGAGGCCGGGAGAGGUGAGAGGUACUUCAGGGGUAGGGGUGAAAUCUUGUAAUCCUUGAAGGACCACCAGUGGCGAAGGCGUCUCACCAGAACGGACCUGACGGCAAGGGACGAAAGCUAGGGGCACGAACCGGAUUAGAUACCCGGGUAGUCCUAGCCGUAAACGAUACUCGCUAGGUGUCGGCCACGGUGCGACCGUUGUCGGUGCCGUAGGGAAGCCGUGAAGCGAGCCACCUGGGAAGUACGGCCGCAAGGCUGAAACUUAAAGGAAUUGGCGGGGGAGCACAAGGGCGAAUCGCGG
rnacentral:rRNA from 1 species